rnacentral:rRNA from 1 species
UACAGAGGUCCCGAGCGUUGUUCGGAUUCACUGGGCGUAAAGGGCGUGUAGGCGGUCAGGUAAGUGAGACGUGAAAUGCCCCGGCUUACCCGGGGACCUGCGUCUCAUACUGCUUGGCUUGAGUACGGGAGAGGAACGCGGAAUUCCAGGUGUAGCGGUGAAAUGCGUAGAUAUCUGGAGGAACACCGGUGGCGAAGGCGGCGUUCUGGACUGCAACUGACACUGAAAAACGAAAGCCAGGGGAGCAAACGGG